rnacentral:tRNA from 1 species
GCCUUGGUGGCGGAAUUGGUAGACGCGCGGGACUUAAAAUCCCGUAACCAUUGCGGUUGUGCGGGUUCAAUUCCCGCCCAAGGUA